rnacentral:rRNA from 1 species
GAUGAACGCCGGCGGCGUGCCUAAUACAUGCAAGUCGAGCGAACGGACGAGAAGCUUGCUUCUCUGAUGUUAGCGGCGGACGGGUGAGUAACACGUGGAUAACCUACCUAUAAGACUGGGAUAACUUCGGGAAACCGGAGCUAAUACCGGAUAAUAUUUUGAACCGCAUGGUUCAAAAGUGAAAGACGGUCUUGCUGUCACUUAUAGAUGUAUCCGCGCUGCAUUAGCUAGUUGGUAAGGUAACGGCUUACCAAGGCAACGAUGCAUAGCCGACCUGAGAGGGUGAUCGGCCACACUGGAACUGAGACACGGUCCAGACUCCUACGGGAGGCAGCAGUAGGGAAUCUUCCGCAAUGGGCGAAAGCCUGACGGAGCAACGCCGCGUGAGUGAUGAAGGUCUUCGGAUCGUAAAACUCUGUUAUUAGGGAAGAACAUAUGUGUAAGUAACUGUGCACAUCUUGACGGUACCUAAUCAGAAAGCCACGGCUAACUACGUG